GAUGAGCGCUAGCGGCAGGCUUAACACAUGCAAGUCGAGGGGUAGAGGCUUUCGGGCCUUGAGACCGGCGCACGGGUGCGUAACGCGUAUGCAAUCUGCCUUGUACUGGGGGAUAGCCCAGAGAAAUUUGGAUUAAUACCCCAUAGUAUUUUCGGUUGGCAUCAACUGAUUAUUAAAGUUUUUCGGUACAAUAUGAGCAUGCGUCCCAUUAGCUAGUUGGUAUGGUAACGGCAUACCAAGGCUACGAUGGGUAGGGGUCCUGAGAGGGAGAUCCCCCACACUGGUACUGAGACACGGACCAGACUCCUACGGGAGGCAGCAGUGAGGAAUAUUGGUCAAUGGUCGCAAGACUGAACCAGCCAUGCCGCGUGCAGGAUGAAGCAUCUAUGGUGUGUAAACUGCUUUUGUACGGGAAGAAACACUCCUACGUGUAGGGGCUUGACGGUACCGUAAGAAUAAGGAUCGGCUAACUCCGUGCCAGCCGCCGCUGUAAUAC
rnacentral:rRNA from 1 species